rnacentral:misc_RNA from 1 species
GAUGAAAACGCAGCGAAAUGCGAUACGUAAUGUGAAUUGCAGAAUUCAGUGAAUCAUCGAAUCUUUGAACGCAUAUUGCGCUCUUUGGUAUUCCGAAGAGCAUGCUUGUUUGAGUAUCAGUAAACACCUCAACCUCUUCUUGAUUUUUCAAAAGGAGGGUGGACUUGAGCUAUCCCAACAACCUUUACCGGUCGGCGGGCGGCUUGAAAUGCAGGUGCAGCUGGACUUUUAUCUGAGCUAAAAGCAUAUCUAUUUAGUCCUCGUCAAACAGGAUUAUUACUUUUGCUGCAGCUAACAUAAAGGAUAAUUGUCCUCUUUGCUGACUGAUGCAGGAUUUUACGACACUUUAUGUGUUGUUCAACUCGAUCUCAAAUCAAGUAAGACUACCCGCUGAACUUAAGCAUAUCAAUAAGCGGAGGA